rnacentral:rRNA from 1 species
UACAGAGGUCUCAAGCGUUGUUCGGAUUCAUUGGGCGUAAAGGGUGUGUAGGUGGCGCCGUAAGUCGGGUGUGAAAUUUCGGAGCUUAACUCCGAAACUGCAUUCGAUACUGCGGUGCUUGAGGACUGGAAAGGAGACUGGAAUUCAUGGUGUAGCAGUGAAAUGCGUAGAGAUCAUGAGGAAGACCAGUGGCGAAGGCGGGUCUCUGGACAGUUCCUGACGCUGAGGCACGAAGGCCAGGGGAGCAAACGGG